rnacentral:rRNA from 1 species
GCGCAGCAGGCGAGAAUUUUUCUCAAUGGGGGAAACCCUGAAGGAGCGACGCCGCGUGGAGGAUGAAGGCUUUCGGGUUGUAAACUCCUGUCAUUUGGGAACAAGUUGCACACGUUAACUGCGUGGGCAUUGAUAGUACCAGAAGAGGAAGGGACGGCUAACUCUGUGCCAGCAGCCGCGGUAAUACAGAGGUCCCAAGCGUUGUUCGGAUUCAUUGGGCGUAAAGGGUGCGUAGGUGGCGCUGUAAGUCGGGUGUGAAAUUUCGGAGCUUAACUCCGAAACUGCAUUCGAUACUGCGGUGCUUGAGGACUGGAGAGGAGACUGGGAAUUCAUGGUGUAGCGGUGAAAUGCGUAGAGAUCAUGAGGAAGACCAGUGGCGAAGGCGGGUCUCUGGACAGUUCCUGACACUGAGGCACGAAGGCCAGGGGAGCAAACGGGAUUAGAU